CGUCCAAGUACAAUAGGCCGUCAGUGGGACAUCAUAGAGGGUGACAAUCCCGUCCUUGAUGCCAAUGUGCAAGUCCAUUACGAUGGCUAUCUCAGAGAGUCGAGCAGUUUGGGAUUUGCUGCUUAAACAUGGGAGGUAGAUUCCUUCUAAAGCUAAAUACAGGCGAGAGACCGAUAGAGAACAAGUACCGCAAGGGAAAGAUGAAAUAGCACUCUGUGAAGGGAGUCAAAAGGCGUGAAAUUGUUGCGAGAGAAGCGAUUCAAGUCAGCGUAGCUAGGCCCAUCAAGCCUUUUUGCUUUGGACUAGCUUUGCCAGCGGUCUUGUCCCUUAAAAGGGACUUGACUUGUAAUGUGUCCAGCCUGGCGUGCACAGGCAGCCCCUUCUGGGGGCCAGUGGCAUGGCUGGUGGAAUGGCUUGCAAUCGACCCGUCUUGAAACACGGACCAAGGAGUCUAACAUGUAUGCGAGUAUAAGGGUGGCAAACCCGUAUGCGCAAUGAAAGUGAUUUUCGAUGAUUGA
rnacentral:rRNA from 1 species